GAGCAGUUCCGCCAUGCAGAGGGGGAGACUGCCUGUUCUUUAACCUCUCCUACCUGAUGGGAGAGGACAAGCUACCAGGGCAGCUUGUCUCACCAAGAAACUGUGAUACUGCAUCCCCCAACGUGCUGGCUUCCUGACUUCCAAAGUUGCGGCAAGGUAAGAAGAACUACAGAGGAAGAACCUACUGCAGAUGUUUCCCAGGAGACUUUAAUUGAAGUAUCAGCAAAACUGAAAGGUAACGAGAGAAUCUUGUGCCUCUGAGGGUGUCUUUCCCAUGGAUCCCUGCUCAGUUGCCUUUCACGGGCCCCCUGAUUUGCGUGAACUCCUGACCUCAGAUGAUCCACCUGCCUUGGCCCUCCAAAGUGCUGGAAUUAUAGGCAUGAGCCACCGUGCCUGGCCUGUUCCAUGCAUUAAAAAAAAAUUAAAAAAUUAAAAAAAAUCAGUGAGAACAAGAAGAAAUGUAAAUGCUGGGCUUUUCAUAUAAAUCCAGGGAAUUAUGGGACAGUUAGUACCCACCUCCCAGGGUAUUAUGAGGAUAAAUUCAUGUCAUCUUCCCACCACAGUGCUCUGUAGCGUGCUUCUGAGCACACAGAGCAUGCUCCAUAAACAUUGCAUUAACGCAUGUGUGCAUGUUGUUUUCCAAAUGCAGACUUACUCAGACAUGAGCUGCCUUCUCCAGCCUCUGUAAAGUUUAAAGGACCAGCAGAGUAUGCCAUGUUUUAGGAUAGUGAUUGGUGGUUUUUAUUUUGGACUGAAAGCAUUUAUGUUGUGAGAAGAGUAUGGGUUUAAGGAACUGUGUGCUGUGGCACUUUGUCUAGUUGAAUGCUGCUAUAAGUGAUCUAGGGCAAGUAGGGUCAGCAUUAGCUGUGAAUGAAGCCAAUCCAUGGACCCCUUUCAAACCUGCAGAAUUGGCCAGGCAUGGUGGCUCAUGCCUGUAAUCCCAGCACUUUGGGAGGCCGAGGCGGGUGGAUCACUUGAGGUCAGGAGGUCGAGACCAGCCUGACCAAUAUGGAGAAACCCCGUCUCUACUAAAAAAUACAAAAUUAGCCGGGUGUGGUGGCACAUGCCUGUAAUACCAGCUACUCGGGAGGCUGAGGAAGGAGAAUUGCUUGAACCUGGGAGGUGGAGCUUGCGGUGAGCUGAGAUUGCGUGCCAUUGCACUCCAGCUUGGGCAAGAAGAGCAAAACUCCAUCUCAAAAAAAAAAAAAAAAAAGAAAAAAAGGGAAAAAAGAAAACAUUAAAUGCAGCAAGAUGCAGGUCAGAGCAUACCUCCAUUUGUGUGCUCUUGUGGACAAAAUUUAAAUGGCAAAUAAGAUUUUGCAUUUAUUGACGUUUUUCUUUACAUUGCUAUAAGUACAAAUACCCAUUUAUCCUUUGACCUCCUAUAUCUUUAUUCUGUAUGCAUAUAAAAAAAAUGCUAGAUCUGUAUCUAGAUUAUACAUGGGUAAACACAACAUAUAGAAUUAUAUGACUUUGCCUAUGUAGAUAUUUAUGUAUACAAUAGAUAUUAAAUAACAUUUUAAAUUCCCCAGCCUACACUGAGGAUGCAGAUAUAAACUUACUCUCAUCUAUAUGGAUCCAUACCAUCUCAGACUGGAACACAGCCAUACAAUGUUAUGUUUAAACAUCAAUAAAGCUUCACAUAUAGGUGCAUGGCCUGGGAAGUAUGUUUUUGGUAAAGCCAUCUUAGACUCUAGUUCCAGCUUAGCAUUUCAGGGCCCUGCUUCCUUUCUCACUGUAUGCCUGUGAUUCACAUUUGCCAUUUGGGUCGAUUGACUUAUAUCCAUCUAAGCUGAUCUAAGUGGUUUAUUAAACUCAUCUGGGCUGCAGAAGUUGAGAAGGAAAGCGACCUCUGACCUACUUAUUCUGAGGCUUGUCUACAGGACAUAUGCAAUAAUGGGAAUUACAUUGACAUACCUAUGUUACCCAUUUUCUGUUUUUUUUUUUUUGAGAUGGAGUUUCACUCUUGUUGGCCAGGAUGGAGUGCAAUGGUGCAAUAUCAGCUCACUGCAACCUCUGCCUCCUGGGUACAAGCGAUUCUCCUACCUCAGCCU
rnacentral:lncRNA from 1 species